ensembl:lincRNA 4933438B17Rik RIKEN cDNA 4933438B17 gene
UCUAUACAGACUCAUGCAGUCUCCGGCAGCAACAGAGAAUUCCACCAUAACCCCAGGCACAGGCUGAGUGAUGGAUGCGAUGGAUGCUGAAUGAUAUGUGACUGAGUGAACCGCAGUGCACUCUGGGAAACCCGGAAGGAGAUGGCUAUCAUGAAAAAUUAUGUUUUUGCCUAUAAUUCAAUAUCCAGGAUCCAAGAGAAGCUUCUACAGCUUGGGCUGCAAAAACAACAACUGGAGUUAGAAGCUCUGGGAGGUGUAGACUAGAAGAUCCUGUCAUCUUCGCAGAGACAGAAGGCUUUGCCUGUGUUCAUCAAUCCUGUUUCUCCGAGGACAAACUAAAGAACUCAGAGGUGACUUGUAAUGAGGAAGGGAGCUGCCAGGCCCUUUGAGAAGAUCACAGCCAUCCAAAGCAGAGACACUUUAAAGCCAGGCAGAGUGGAGAUGCCACUUAGAAACUUGGGUGCUUCCUGACAAAGAAGGACACAUUACUCUUUCUGAAAAAGCUCAUCAAAUUGAACCUGCCCAUCACCUGGACCUGUCCUUCACCUGGACCUGUCCAUCACCUGGACAUGUCCAUCAUCUGGAUCUGUCCAUCACCUGAACCUGCCCAUCACCUGGACCUGUCCCUCACCUGGACCUGCCCAUCACCUGGAUAUGUCCAUCAUCUGGAUCUGUCCAUCACCUGAACCUGCCCAUCACCUGGACCUGUCCCUCACCUGGACUGGGAAGCCAAGAAGUCCAGAGCAAGAACCAGCUGAUUGGCCCUGUAUCGUCUGGGUGGAUCCAAGGCAUCCCAAGGAUCCUUGUUAGGAGGACGGAGGAGAGUCAUAGUCUCAGAGAGACGGGUGAGGACUGAAGCAGAGUGUUGAAGAAAAAUGGGAGAGGUGAUGAGAAUCCCUAGCUCACACUGACAAUGUGAGGAUGUGGGCUGGGUCUGUGAACACAUCCAGAACAGGACUCCAUGUGGAAGAACACAAACAAGUGAGAUGCACUGGUUAUAUGCUGCUGUUCUCCAAGGCACUGCUACCUGCUGAGAGGCCCUGGAGAUAUUCUGGAGACAGCACCUGGCAGAUCCACCUACAGGCUGGCGACAAGCACCAAGAAUGGAUUGGGCAGGGGAUGGGCCUCCCCUCUUUAUAAGCAGUCUCUUAGUAAACUCGGGGGCCUUG